rnacentral:rRNA from 1 species
UACGAAGGGGGCUAGCGUUGUUCGGAAUUACUGGGCGUAAAGCGCACGUAGGCGGAUUGUUAAGUCAGAGGUGAAAUCCCGGAGCUCAACUUCGGAACUGCCUUUGAUACUGGCAAUCUAGAGUCCGGAAGAGGUUAGUGGAAUUCCCAGUGUAGAGGUGAAAUUCGUAGAUAUUGGGAAGAACACCAGUGGCGAAGGCGGCUAACUGGUCCGGUACUGACGCUGAGGUGCGAAAGCGUGGGGAGCAACAGG